rnacentral:rRNA from 1 species
GUCGAGAGGCUUCGGCAAUGGGGGAAACCCUGACCGAGCGACGCCGCGUGAGGGAUGAAGGCCCUUGGGUUGUAAACCUCUUUUGUUCGGGAAGAAAUGCGACCAGGUGAAUAAUCUGGUCGUUUGACGGUACCGGACGAAUAAGCUCCGGCUAACUCCGUGCCAGCAGCCGCGGUAACACGGGGGGAGCAAGCGUUGUUCGGAAUCACUGGGCGUAAAGGGCGUGUAGGCGGUCCGGUAAGUGAGAUGUGAAAUGCCUCGGCUCACCCGAGGACCUGCAUCUCAAACUGCCUGACUCGAGUACGGGAGAGGAUGAGGGAAUUCCUGGUGUAGCGGUGAAAUGCGUAGAUAUCAGGAGGAACACCGGUGGCGAAAGCGCUCAUCUGGCCCGAUACUGACGCUGAGGCGCGAAAGCUAGGGGAGCAAACGGGAUUAGAUACCCGGGUAGUCC